AGCCCAGAGAUCUGCCCCAGGCUGAACCACAAAGUACGUCAACCAGAAGUCAGCAGGAUGGCCUAACUAGUACCACAGAGACAUCAGUGGAGGCAUUUCAGGGACCUGGCACCGAGUGCAAAAGAGACACCACAAAGUAUACCAGAGGAAUUUGUGAGAAUGAUCUACAGCUUGAAGUAGAAAAAUUACUGGAGGCAUCUUUGUCCACAAAUACAAAAUACAAAAUUGUCGUACAGUACUGGAUUUGAAUCAUUUCAAAAGUUUCGUUACUCUUUUAAUUAUGAACAAAUCUGGCCACCACCAUUAAAUCAUAUAGUGCAGUUUGUGGCAUUCUUGUCAUGUUCAGGCUAUUCAUAUUCAACAGCUAGGUCAUAUGUUGCUGCCAUCAGUUUUCACUGUAAGUUAAAGAAUCUUCA